rnacentral:rRNA from 1 species
UACGUAGGGGGCGAGCGUUGUCCGGAAUCAUUGGGCGUAAAGCGCGUGUAGGCGGUCCGGUAAGUCCGUUGUGAAAGUCGGGGGCUCAACCCUCGAAUGCCGGUGGAUACUGUCGGGCUAGAGUGCGGAAGAGGCGAGUGGAAUUCCUGGUGUAGCGGUGAAAUGCGCAGAUAUCAGGAGGAACACCAAUUGCGAAGGCAGCUCGCUGGGACGUAACUGACGCUGAGACGCGAAAGCGUGGGGAGCAAACAGG